AACGCAUAUUGCACCCUCUGGCAUUCUGGAGGGUAUGUCUGUUUGAGAACCGUCGUUUCUAUCACUGCGUUCAGUUCUAAACAUUUGUUUAGUCCUUGUACAAGGUGGAUUUGGCCCUGUCACAUUGUCACAACUGUGUGGGCUUAAAUGAAUUGAAUGCAAACUUCCUCCGUCACUUGCAAGAGUGGUGGGGUACAGUGCUACCAACAACAAAAAAACUCUUUUAUUCUUGACAAGAGAAUCGUUAUCAAUAAGAGGUUAUAUCUAUAACCUCUUUUGGGCCAUUCUUGAAGGCAGGAAUUCUUGAGUAAAACCGGUGCUGUGCUAGCUGGAGUUUCAUCUGCUGACAGAAAAGCAAUUUUCUAAUAUGCGCAGACAGAAAACAUGUGUGUGUGGUAACACAACUCACAUCCCUCUUCUGUUAUACUGCAACAUUGGUCUCAAAUCAGACAAGACAACCCGCUGAACUUAA
rnacentral:misc_RNA from 1 species